CCGCGCUGAUGACCAUCUUAGGACACCUUUGGAUCAAUGAUGAAACCAAACUGUUAGUCUGAGCGGC
ensembl:snoRNA SNORD58 Small nucleolar RNA SNORD58